rnacentral:rRNA from 1 species
UACAGAGGUCUCAAGCGUUGUUCGGAUUCAUUGGGCGUAAAGGGUGCGUAGGUGGCGGGGUAAGUCAGGUGUGAAAUCUCGGGGCUCAACCCCGAAACUGCAUUUGAUACUGUCUUGCUCGAGUACUGGAGAGGAGAUUGGAAUUUACGGUGUAGCAGUGAAAUGCGUAGAUAUCGUAAGGAAGACCAGUGGCGAAGGCGAAUCUCUGGACAGUUACUGACACUGAGGCACGAAGGCCAGGGGAGCAAACGGG